GUCAUUUCAAAUUCAGUUUAUCCCAAUAAAUGUUGUAAUAUUUUCAUUUCCAUGUAAAUCUAAUAAAUUUGUUUUUUGAUACAACAUCAUUCGCAUCUGACACCAUACUGGUGAAUUUGAUUUUAUCAAUUUUCUAUAGCGCUACCUGAUUAUCUCUCAGAAGAAUAUAAUGUUUAGAAAUUUCGGACAGCGCAUAUUUCGGAUAAACGUUUCAAUAUGAUUAUCAGUGUGUUUUAGUUGAAUAUAUUUUCUUCCAACUGAAAAUAUUAUUUAUUUAUAAUUAUUAUCUUUAUAAAGCACAAACAGUCAAGCUGUAUAUAACCAAUUUAAAUUGUCAUAAAAUUCAAUGAAAUAUUUUGCUCCUGUAGAUAUUUUGACUGAGGACAGUGGUGAGAUGAAAGACGUCAGUAUCCAUUGUAAAUACACAUGCAUGCUCUGCUGUAAAAUCGUUUUGGUAUGUGAUUUCAUGGUUGGAUCUUGAGUACUUGUCAUUGCUCUUGAUUUAUUUUGGAGUGUUCACCAUCAGAUUAGAAAUCAAAUAGUGAUACCACCAGGCAUAGUUGAAAGGAAAUGUCCAUACACAGUCUUGAAGUACAUAGUGGUAGAGACAUUACAUAUUUUGACUGAAUUAAAGCUUCUUAAAGCUCCAUGUCUUGUAUAAACUGUCUGACUGAAUGUUUGUAUUCUAAUAAAAACUAAGGUUGAAGACACUUCAAAGAUAUAUGUCAGUGUAAAAAUGUUAAACAAAAUAUCUGUCUUUGUUAGAAAUAAAUAACCUGUCUUUAUUAGAAAUAAAUAACCUGUCAUUUGUAACUUUGUAUUAACUUAAUUAUUGAAAGAUAAUUUAUCUUCUGCAAAUGGCUGCCCAAAACAGUUUCAACCAGGCAUCAUGUAGUUUCAAAACAGUUAAGAUAAAUUUGUUAUAAAUAGACUUGUAAAUUAACAGGAAUGGUAAAAAGAUAAAUGUUCAGCAUUAAAAUGUUUCUAUCUUGA